AGCGAACGUUUGCGGCGGGCCUAACACAUGCAAGUCGAACGCACUAGCAAUAGUGAGUGGCGCACGGGUGCGUAACACGUGGGUAAUCAACCCUUCAGCCUGGGAUAACGACUCGAAAGGGUCGCUAAUACCGGAUACGGCGCGAGAGGCUUCGGCUUCUCACGAGAAAGCCACGCAAGGGGCACUGAAGGACGAGCCCUGCGGCCCAUCAGCUAGUUGGUGAGGUAAGAGCUCACCAAGGCUAAGACGGGUAGCUGGUCUGAGAGGAUGAUCAGCCACACUGGAACUGAGACACGGUCCAGACUCCUACGGGAGGCAGCAGUGGGGAAUAUUGCGCAAUGGGCGAAAGCCUGACGCAGCCACGCCGCGUGAGCGAUGAAGGCCU
rnacentral:rRNA from 1 species